CAAUCCGCGGGUGCUGGCUCUGCGGAUUGGGCCGGGAGAUGCCGAGGGCCUCGGCGGGGUCCGUCCGCACUCGGCCAGUGCCCAGGGAGCUCGGGCCCUAGCGAGGAGAGGCGCGCCAAGCCUCCUCGCGGCUUUCAGGUCUUCCCGCCCGGGCGCCGCCUGCGGACGCAGUGCCAGAGACCCGCCGACGGGGCGCGGCGUCCGCUCCCGCACCUGCCUUGCUCCCACAAGGCCGGAUAGCCGGCGCGAGCAAUUCACUAAGAUCUGACGGAGGGAUGGAGGAAGACGCUUCUCUCGCACGGCCCGGAAUCCUGCAACAGCCGCGGAAGGGGCUGCGCCGGGGGAUCCCGGCGGCCGGAUCCUGCCAGGUGAACGGCCCAGGGGCCCGGAGGCAGGCAGCGCUUCCCGGGCGCGAUUCAGCUGGCCCCGUGUUGCCGUGGGCUGCCCCGAACCGGGUCCCGCGGUGCCCUUUUCCUGGCGGGGCCCUGAAAUACACAUCGGAUUCCCGCCCCGCGCGAGGACCGAGGAACUGAGCCCGCUGCAGCCUUCUCCUGUGGGCCUUUCGUGCGCAAGGCGGGAAAAGGAAGCCUGGAUGCGUUCAUCAGUACAUCCCUAUACAGCUGCACGCCUCACCUGUUAGCGCUACUCCUAGCCCCAUCUACAUGCCCGUGGACUCCAGGUCUCUCUAAUCCCGUUACACUCCUCCAUCACUUCUCUCCAAUCAACCGUGUAUCCCCUCCGGUUCUCUUUUACCCACUACUCUCUCACACUCACCUGUUACAUAUAUUAGUUCAGAUCCUGCACAUUUUGGUGGAAAACAUGUCACUCUGAUGCCUGCACUUUAAGCCUCCUUACACACUUGGGCACUCAGCAGUCUCGUGACACAGAGUACCUUUUGAGUCCGCGUCUGCAAAUCUGACUUCUAGAAGCCUGUUGAUUCUCUGAUGUCUUUGGCCUGGGGUUAGGGUGACUGGGCUGCCACCUGGAUAUUCCCUUGGUGAUGUUGCUGCUCAGAGUUCUUUAAGAAGCUCAGGUACAGAACAUACCCUCAUGCACUUUAUUUAAAAAUUUUUUAAUGUUUAUUCAUUUUUGAGAGAGAGAGAGAGAGAGAGAGAGAGAGAGAGAGAGAGAAGAAAAACAUGAGCAGGGGAGGGGCAGAGAGAGAGGGAGACACAGAAUCCGAAGCAGGCUCCAGGCUGUCAGUACAGAGCCUGACUUGGGGCUCAAACCCACAAACUGAGAUCAUGACCUGAGCUGAAGUCAGAGGCUUAACUGGCUGAGCCACCCAGGCGUCACUCUGUCACAUACUUUAACACACACAGGCCACUCACACAGGCUUCCUCUCUGUUUGGUAGCUGAGCUCCCUAUCACUUUGACAGGCUGCAGCCUGGUGCUUGGUUCCUCUGCACACCCACACAGUGCCCCCAGGCCAGCCAUAUUAUUCUGCCAGGUUGGGAUUAGCAGUCACUUACCCAAAUCUGUGCUUGGGAGAAAGAGUGAGAGAAGAGGGAAGUGGAGAGAGAAGGAGAGGGAGAGAGGAAGAGAGGCCACUACCUAUUCUGGGGAAUGGCUGUUUGAUGAGAGCUGUUUCCAGUUGGUAUCUUAGUGGAUCCUACCCCCCUCAUACCAUGGGUGGUUGGGCUGGGAGGCAGUAGGCUGGAGUUCUGGGCUUCUCCUUACCUCACUGAUGUUGGGCCUCAAGUUCACUAACACCUCUUUGUCCCGAGGAGAGUGUGCCCUACCCUUUACCAGGCAGACUGUGGGGGCUGUUGUAGCCAUUUCUCCUGGCUGAGCCUAACUUAGGGAAAAAAGGCAGAGGGGGCUGGUUCAUGAGUCCUGCAGGACCUUCUCUCUCCAAAGACUUCUGGAGUGCUCCCAGAGAGAGAAUUCUAGGGUGGCAGGAGCUGCUGACCUGCUUCCUUUGGUAUCCCAUGGCCAUAAGCCAUUUUGUUCAGCCCUGAACAGUGAGUGCCUUGCCACCAGCGCUCCUGCCCCAUGCUUGAGAGUGUGACGUGUUGUUGUUUAAAGUUGCCUUGUUGCCUUUCUCCACACCCAGACUGUAAGUCUGGAAGGGUAGAGACUCUGUCCUUCAGUUCUCACUCAGUGCUUCCCACCAGGAUUGGUUUAAUGCACUCUAAUGGCAUUGGAGAAUGCCUCCACUUCAUGGAUAGAGUUAAGAGAUGCCACUUUCCUUGUAGUGAAGCUGAAAUUUCCAAGAAAGGGACUGGAGGUAGGGAAGAGUGGCUGGACCAUGGGGGGCCAGCUCAGGAUCCAAGAGUCCUCUGCCAUCUGGGGUUAUCUGUUCAUUAUAGCUGCACAGCCAUGUUGCUGGACCUUAGGCUAAGACACAGGACACCUUCCUGGUUCCCUGAUCAUGGUGAGGACCUGUGUGAAACAUUUAAACUAAACUUUACGAGUAAUAGAAUGGCUUUGCAUCUGCAGCAGCCAGCUAAAUGUAAGGCCUGCUGUCUGGAGUCCCAAGUAGGCCCAAGAGGGGGUGGCUGAAAGGGCCCUUCCUCUUGGUCCUCAUUCCCUGCUCAAGUGUUUUUUCUACAAAUGGGUGCCGUGUAAGGAGCCUUUGUGCAGGAGGGCAGUUUUAGAUUCCUAUCUUUGAUGAAGUUUGGAAGAAGGGAGAGAGAAGGGCUGAGUUUUGUGUUUUGCAUUCUGAAGAUUUCCCUCAUGCUAAGUUGGGGUGUGUGUGUGUGUGUGUGUGUGUGUGUGUGUGUGUGUGUAUGCUGUAUAACUUGCAUAUGUAAACAAUAAGCAUCUCAAGUAUACAGUGUGAUUAUUUUUAUCUACAGUGCACCAUGUAACCACCACCCUGAUCAAGAUAUGGAAUGUUAACAUUUUUGUCACCUCAGAAGGUUUCCUUAUAUUUUUUCCUCUUCAAUACCUGCUCCCAAAAGAUAACUGUAUUCUGAUUCCUACCACCAUAGAUUAACUUUGCCUGCAUAUAAAUGGGGCAGGCAACAUGUA